rnacentral:rRNA from 1 species
CAGUGUGACUCGUCACACUAUCAUUAACUGAAUCCAUAGGUUAAUGAGGCGAACCGGGGGAACUGAAACAUCUAAGUACCCCGAGGAAAAGAAAUCAACCGAGAUUCCCCCAGUAGCGGCGAGCGAACGGGGAGGAGCCCAGAGCCUGAAUCAGCAUGUGUGUUAGUGGAAGCGUCUGGAAAGGCGCGCGAUACAGGGUGACAGCCCCGUACACAAAAGCGCAUGUGCUGUGAGCUCGAUGAGUAGGGCGGGACACGUGGUAUCCUGUCUGAAUAUGGGGGGACCAUCCUCCAAGGCUAAAUACUCCUGACUGACCGAUAGUGAACCAGUACCGUGAGGGAAAGGCGAAAAGAACCCCGGCGAGGGGAGUGAAAAAGAACCUGAAACCGUGUACGUACAAGCAGUGGGAGCACAGGUUUACCUGUGUGAC